GAAACGCGAUAGUUAAUGUGAAUUGCAGAAUUCAGUGAAUCAUCGAGUCUUUGAACGCACAUUGCGCCCAUAGGUAUUCCUUUGGGCAUGUCUGUUUGAGCGUCAUUACAACCCUCAGCUAACCGCUGGUUUUGAACCUGAACGGGUGACACCGCGCCGGUUUUAAAGUUGUAAGCUCUGCUGGCCGCUCUGCCCAACCAGAACAUAGUAAGCACUACUUGUCCGGGUGAAGCUGAACGGUACGGCCUGAACAAAACCUACCCACUCUCAAGGUUUGACCUCAGAUCUGACAAGGAUACCCGCUGAACUUAAGC
rnacentral:misc_RNA from 1 species